AGCCAAUCGGAACUCGCGGCGGGGCUGCUGGGUCUUCCAGGAGCGCGCUUGAGCGGACGCUGCCUACCGGUGGCCGGGCGGGAUGUAACCCGCUGCUGAGCUGGCAGCUCUGUGUCGCUAGGCUUCGGCCCGGCCGCCGCCGCACAUAAGCUGCGAGGAGGAGCUUUACGACUUCCCGGUCUUCGGGGCCGGGCGCAGCAAGGGCCAGACUCUGCGCUAGCAGGCGCUGCGCGCCAACCGGCCGGCACCUGUCGCAGAAGGUGCAACCGAUCGCACUGUCGCGCCGAAGCUCCUCAAUGGCCAGCGCCAGCUGCAGCCCCGGCCGCCCACUCGCCUCACCUGAGCCUGGGAGCUUGAAAAAUCACAUUUGAGAAGAGGAUUGGAUCCUAGCCAUAACAUAAAUAUAAGGGUGGAACCAAAGUUUUAAUCAAAGAAGGUGGUGUUCAGUUGCUGCUUACAAUAGUUGAUACCCCAGGAUUUGGAGAUGCAGUGGAUAACAGUAAUUGCUGGCAGCCUGUUAUCAAUUACAUUGAUAUUAAAUUUGAGGACUACCUAAAUGCAGAAUCGCGAGUGAACAGAUGUCAGAUGCCUGGUAACAGGGUGCAGUGUUGUUUAUACUUCAUUGCUCCUUCAGGACAUGGACCAUUACAUAACUGAAGACUCCCACCUUCAGGCAGGAUUGGGUAGUACGUGUUUGUAACUACCUGGCAUUGCCUUUUGUUGAGGAAGGGUAGAUGUCUACCCAAAUGGAAUAUUGAGUAUCAGAGACUUCAAAUGAUAACUUUUGUUUGUUUGGAGAAAAUCUUGAGGACGUGAUCACUGUACAAAAGCAUGGCAAAAUGAGGAAACCACUGACAGGUGAAGAAUUUGCACAAUGGAAAACCACCUUGACCAUCUCAUGACUUUAUACAGGAAUCGGAGACAUCCAAGGCCAUUCCAUUUCUAAAUCACACUUAUCCCUCAAUCAAGUCAGUGACUGGAUCAUCUCCUAAGGUUUCACCUGCUUUGCAUCAGGGCAGGGUUCCACUCCCAUUGCCCAGGCUGGAGUGCAGUGGCGUGAUCUUGGCUCACUGCAACCCCCUCCUCCCCUAUUCAAGCAAUUCUUCUGCCUCAGUCUUCUAAGUGGCUGGGACUACAAGCGCGUGCCACCACACCCGCGCUUAUAAUAGAAAAUAAUUUUUCUGUUUUUUUGUAGGGAUGGGGUUUCACCAUGUUGGCCAGGCUGGCCUCGAACUCCUGAGCUCAAGUGAUCAACCUGCCUCUGCCUCCCAAAGUGCUGGGAUUACAGGUGUAAGCCACCAUGCCCGGCCUCUGAUUUUUCUAUAGUGAGAACAUAACUAUUUCUGUAAUAAUAUUAAAAAUACUUGUCAGUAUCACAUAGAAUUUUCAACAGCAGAUUCAAAUAAAAUGAAUCCUUGUGUGUGUGUAUAUAUAUAUA
rnacentral:lncRNA from 1 species